AUAUUGGGUUUUACUUUGAUAUAUUCCAUGCAUGCAUAUAAUGUACUUUGAUCAUAUCCACACUUCCUGCUACCCUCUUUGACUUUUCUCUCCAUUUCCCUUUUGUGUCAAUACUACAACUGAGAAAACAGAAGUAUUACUUGAGUGAACAUAAAUAAAAAAGAGAAUUUUCAGAUGCAAGAUGAAUUACAGCAAGCUUUGACCAUAAGCUUGGAACUUGUGAUACUCCUGCCUCAGGGAUUACAGGCAUGGGCCACCAUAGUGGGCUGUUUUUCUACCUACGGUGACAGGAAUUUCAGAAACAGGUGAGUAAAUUGAGGAGUCAUCUUGUGAUUGUCAGUAAGUCAUGUGGGCAUACUUUUAAGACCAAGGGGUGCACUUAAUCUGUGGGGUUUCUGCUCAUUCCUUAAUUGAAUUAUAGGACACCCAGAUAUGUGCAGAGAGUUGGAGAAUAACUUGGUGUGGAAAACUCUAAACAUUUGGUGUCAGAAGUGUUCUGGAGUGUAUUAUGAAAGAGGACACCUGGUUAGUUGGAGCAUUACAGAUACCUUUCAACCUUACAGUGGACCAUAGUCCCAUCUUCCCCAUUGAGUUCUGAACCUCAGUCUCACUGGGGACCCUAUCGUACAUUGUUUCCUUCCUUUGCUACUCUGCCUCAUCCCAAGAGGUAGUACCUGCUUUCUGUAUGCCAUUUCUGCAUUCUUUGGAGCCUUCUUUUACUUCUUUUAGUAGAAAACCACCUUUAAUUGUUAAUUCUUUUUACUUUUUCAGUGCUAGGGAUUAAACCCAGGGCCUCAGGAAUGAAUAAGUCUAUAUUAAGUUUUCCUUAUUCAAAUGAUUUAUGUGGUUUCUGGACUUUGAUGGAAUCAUCUAAACCACAAUAACCUAGUACCUGUUAAAGCAGGGUGCUGAAUUGCUCAGAGCAUGUGAGAAAGAGUAACUGAGGCAUUAAUCAAUUUAGUAAAAUGGUUAACUCCUACAAUAAGGAAAGGAGAAGGAGGAGGAUGGAAGCAAUAGUGUUCAUCUCUUCACUCCAAAAUUGUUGUGCCCUCAUCUCCCUGUCAGUCUACUUCAGAAUUAUAUCAUCUGAUUUAGAAUGUGAUGACAUUAAUGCUAGAUCAUGUUGCUCAGAAUUUCUUGGCCAUACCAUUUUCAGCAUGUUUUGCUUGUUUCACUUAACUGCUUCAUCUUUCCUCUCAACUUACCUGUUGGUACUUGGAAUAUAGAUUCGCUCAUUAUGGUGCCAAGUGGUAACAUGGGGGGUUACAAAAUUAAGGUCAACUGAAGUCACACAUGAAAGAACCCAUGACCAAUCUUUGUUUCCACUUGCUUCAUUUCCUCAUGAAUUUUUAUAAUAUGAUUUUAGCUGUGAUCAAUGACUGAUGCCAGAGAAACUGUGGUUGGAGUUAAUAUACACUACAGUGUCAUAUGAUCAACCCAAACUGAGUCAUAGAACAUACACAAUUUAUACAUAUCAAUUUCAAGCAAGGAAUUAGAUGACAGCAUCAAAAGCCUAUCAAAAAAAAAUCCUGAGACCAGGCAGAUUCACAGCUGAGUUGUACAGGACCUACAAGGAAGAAUUAAUACCAAAUACUCCUCAAAUUAUUCCAUGAAAUAGAAUAGGAAGUAGUCCUUCUGAACUCACUCUACAAAGUCAGUAUCAUCCUGAUACCAAAACCAGGCUGAGACACAUCAAGGAAAGAAAAUUUCAGACAAAUAUCCCUGAUGAAUAUUGAGGCAAUAAUUCCCAAUGACAUUCUGGCAAACUGCAUACAAGAGCAUAUUAAACAAGUAGUACACCAUGAUCAAGUGGGGUUCUUUCCAGGGAUGCAAAGUUGGUUCAACAUAUGGAAAGCAAUAAAUAUAAUUGAUCACAUCAAUAGAUUUAAAGAAUCAUAUGAUUUUAUCAAUUGAUACAGAGAAAGCAUUUGACAAAAUACAGCACCCUUUCAUGUUCAAAACACUAUAAAAACUUGGAACAGUAGAAACAUACCUCAACAUUGUAAAAGCUAUCUAUGCUAAACCCUAGGCCAACAUCAUUCUAAAAGGCGAAAACUUGGAAGCAUUGUUUCUAAAAACUGGAACAAGACAGGGAUGCCCCCUUUCACCACUUCUAUUCAAUAUAGUCCUUGAAAAACUCUGGCCAGAGCAAUUAGACAGAUGAAGGAAAUUAAAAGGAUACAAAUAGAAAAAGAACUCAAAUUAUUAUGUGUUGGUGACAUGAUUCUAUACUUAGAGGGUCUAAUAAACUUCCCCCGGAAAACUUGUGGAAUUAAUGAAUAAAUUCAGCAAAGUAGAAGGAUAUAAAAUCAAUACCCAUAUAUCAAAUGCAUUUCUGUACAUCAAUGAUGUACUCUGACAGAGAAAUUAGGAAACUUAUCCCAUUUGCAGUGGCCUCAAAAAAUAUAUAAAAUCCUUGGGAAUGAACGUAUCCAAAUAGGUGAAAAACCUCUACAAUGAAAACUACAGAACACUAAAAAAUGAAAUUGAAGGAGAUCUUAGAAGAUGAAAAAAAUCUCCCAUGCUCUUGGAUAGGCAAAAUUAAUAUUGUCAAAAUGGCCACACUACCCAAAACACUAUACAGAUUCAAUGCGAUUCCAAUUAAAAUUCCAAUGUAAUCCCUUAUAGAAAUAGAAAAGGCAAUUAUGAAAUUUAUUUGGUAAAAUAAGAGACUCAGAAUAGCCAAAGCAAUCCUUAUGAAGAAGAAUUAAGCAGGAGGCAUCACAAUACCAGACCUUAAACUAUACUACAAAGCUACAGUAUCAAAAACAGCAUGGUAUUAGCAUCUAUAUAGACAUGUAGACCAAUGGUACAGAAUAGAGGGCACAGAGACAAACCCAAAUAAAUAUAGUUAUCUUAUACUAGACAAUAGUACCGAAUAGAUAGCCUCUUCAACAAAUGGUGCUGGGAGAACUGGAAAUCCAUAUGCAGCAAAAUGAAAAUAAACCCCCAACUCUCUCCAUGCACAAAACUCAACUCAAAGUGGAUCAAGAACCUAGGAAUUAGUCCAGAGACCCUGCGCCUAAUAGAGAAAAAAGUAGGCCCAAAUCUUAAUCAGGUCAGAUUAGGCCCUGACUUCCUUAAAAAAGAGUCCUAAAGCACAAGAAAUAAAAUCAAGAAUUAAUAAAUGGGAUGGACUCAAACUAAAAAGCUUCUUCUCAGUAAAAGAAACAAUCAAUGAGGUGAAGAGAGCCUAUGUUUUUGGAGCAAAUUUUUGCCAUGCACACGUCAGAUAGAGCACUAAUCACCAGGAUUUAUAAAGAACAAAAAAUUAAAUUACAAAAAUUAAAUUACAAAAAAUUAAAACAAACAAACCAGACAAUCCAAUCAACAAAUGGGCUAAGGAGCUGAAUGGAUACUUUUCAGAAGAAGAUAUACAUUCAAUCAACAAAUAUAUAAAAAAUGUUCAACAUUUCUAGUAAUUAGAGAAAUGGGAAUCAAAACUACUCUAAAAUUUCAUCUCACACCAGUCAGAAUGGCAGUUAUCAAGAAACAGACAAUAAUAAAUGUUGGUGAGGAUGUGGGGGGGAAAGGUACACUCAUACAUUGCUGGUGGGACUGCAAAUUGGUACAACCACUCCACAAUAGCUAAACUGUGGAGCCAACCUAGAUGCCCUUCAUUGGAUGAAUGGAUAAAAAUUAAAUGAAAUUUUACUCAGCAAUAAAAGAGAAUAAAUCAUGGCAUUUGCAGGUAAAUGGAUGGCGCUGGAGAAGAUAUUGUUAAGUGAAGUUAGCCAAUCCCCCCAAAAAACUAAUGCCAAAUGUUUUCCCUGAUAUAAAUAGGCUGACUCAUAGUGGGGUAGGAAGGGGGAGCAUGGAAGGAUCAGAUGAAUUCUAGAUAGGGGAGAGGUGUGGGAGAGAAAUAGAGGAGGCUGGGGAUUAGCAAGGAUGGUGGAAUGUGAUGGACAUCAUUAUCCAAAGUACAUGUAUGAAGACAUGAAUUGGGUAUCAAUCUACUUUAUAUACAGAGAUAUUAAAAUUGUGGUAUAUAUGUGUAAUAAGAAUUGCAAUGCAAAAAAAAACCAAAGUACAUAUGUAAAGACAUGAAUUGGCAUGAACAUACUUUAUAUACAAAGAUUUGAAAAAUUGUGAUCUAU
rnacentral:lncRNA from 1 species